rnacentral:rRNA from 1 species
CGUGUAGGCGGCUUAGCAAGUCGGGUGUGAAAGCCCUCGGCUCAACCGAGGAAGUGCGCCCGAAACUGCUGAUCUUGAGUACCGGAGAGGAUGGCGGAAUUCCCCAAAGUAGAGGUGAAAUUCGUAGAUAUAGGGGAGGAACACCGGUGGCGAAGGCGGCCAUCUGGACGGAUACUGACGCUGAGACGCGAAAGCGUGGGGAGCAAACAGGAUUAGAUACCCUGGUAGUCCACGCCGUAAACGAUGAGAACUAGGUGUCGUGGGUGUUGACCCCCGCGGUGCCGUAGCCAACGCAUUAAGUUCUCCGCCUGGGAAGUACGGCCGCAAGGCUAAA